UUAGUGCNGUAGCUAACGCGUGAAGUUGACCGCCUGGGGAGUACGGCCGCAAGGCUAAAACUCAAAGGAAUUGACGGGGACCCGCACAAGCGGUGGAUGAUGUGGAUUAAUUCGAUGCAACGCGAAAAACCUUACCUACCCUUGACAUGUCAGGAAUCCCGGAGAGAUUUGGGAGCGCUCGAAAGAGAACCUGAACACAGGUGCUGCAUGGCUGUCGUCAGCUCGUGUCGUGAGAUGUUGGGUUAAGUCCCGCAACGAGCGCAACCCUUGUCAUUAAUUGCCAUCAUUUAGUUGGGCACUUUAAUGAGACUGCCGGUGACAAACCGGAGGAAGGUGGGGAUGACGUCAAGUCCUCAUGGCCCUUAUGGGUAGGGCUUCACACGUCAUACAAUGGUCGGUCCAGAGGGUUG
rnacentral:rRNA from 1 species